UGGGGGAUAUUGCACAAUGGGCGAAAGCCUGAUGCAGCGACGCCGCGUGGGGGAUGAAGGCCUUCGGGUUGUAAACUUCUUUUGCUCUGAACAAGGCAUGCCUUUGGGGUGUGUUGAGUGUAGGGGUUGAUUAGCGCCGGCUAACUACGUGCCAGCAGCCGCGGUAAUACGUAGGGCGCGAGCGUUGUCCGGAAUUAUUGGGCGUAAAGGGCUUGUAGGUGGCUGGUUGCGUCUGUCGUGAAAGCUCAUGGCUUAACUGUGGGUUUGCGGUGGGUACGGGCUGGCUUGAGUGCAGUAGGGGAGGCUGGAAUUCCUGGUGUAGCGGUGGAAUGCGCAGAUAUCAGGAGGAAUACCGGUGGCGAAGGCGGGUCUCUGGACCUUUCCUGACGCUGAGAAGCGAAAGCGUGGGUAGCAAACAGG
rnacentral:rRNA from 1 species